rnacentral:rRNA from 1 species
AAAACUUUACAAUGCAGGAAACUGUGAUAAGGGAACCCCGAGUGCCCGUAUAUGGGGAAAGGCGGGAUGUGUAAAAAGCAUCCGAAGAAAGGGGGGGGAAAAAACGGUGCCAGCCGCCGCGGUAAUACCGGCGGGUCGAGUGGUGGCCACUUCUAUUGGGCUUUCAAAUCAUAGAAGCUUGAAUAAUAAGUCUCUUAGGAAAUCUGCAGGCUUAACCUGCAGGCGUUUAAAAAAAACUGUUGUUCUAGGAUCCCGAAAAGGUGAGAGGGACUCCGGGGGGAGGAGUAAAAUCUUGUAAUCCCGGGGGGCCCCCGAUGGGGAAGGUUCUCCCCGGGCGGGUUCACAGUG